CAGGUAUCCGAAAGCCAAACACGAGUGGAGGGUGCCAUCUUCUAGCUAGCAUUACAACGAAGAUAAACCUGGUGGUGGCUACUGGCAGACGACUGUGAACCAAAUCUCCACCAUUAUUUGUUGGAGACACUUACUCAGGUGACCAGAAAAUACCCUGACCUUGCUCACAGCGCCUUGGUCCAGUGACACCUGUCAAGAAAGUAGCAGACAAACUGGGCCCAUAUCCUGGAGUAGAUUAUGGAGCAGCAGCACCCAGACCCAAAACAAAGAACUGCAGGAGAUGACACUGGAGGACCAGGUCUGGUCUGCUAGAGUAGUGGAACAGGCAUGGUGUCCCAUCUCCAGCAG